GGAUGUGAGGGCAAUCUGGCUGAGACAUCUGUCACCCCAUUGAUCACCAGGGUUGAUUCGGCUGAUCUGGCUGGCUAGGCGGGUAUUCCCUUCCUCCCUCACCGCUCCAUGUGCGUCCCUCCCGAAGCUGUGCGCUCCGUCAAAGAGGACGACCUUCCCCGAUAGAGAGGACCGUUCUUCGGUCAAGGGUAUACGAAUAGCUGCGCUCCCCUGCUAGAACCUCCAAACAAGCUCUCAAGGUUCACAGUAAUUAAAAACUAGAAGCAGGGGCUUAUACUAGAGUAUAAAUGUUUGAUUAGUAACUGCAGCUAAUAAAGAGAAAAUCGGAAUUCAUC
rnacentral:snRNA from 1 species